UAGUUCAUAUAAAAUUACAUUAUCAGUAAUCCGUCAUUACCAACUGAAGAUCUAGAGUUAAAGGUGUUCAAAAUGGCUAGUUGCAUAAUUUUGUGUUUAGUUUGUUUAGUUUUAUCAUUCAGUUUUAUAUAUGGACAACAGAACGAAGAGGAUAUAGCUUGUAGAAGGGAGCAUGGUACGUGUACACGACAUGUCUACGAAAACACUCGACUUGUCGCGUUAAGAAGCUCCGGUUGUCAGAGGUUUUGCCAGUGUGCGCAUGCGUCUACUGAACUAGAUGGCAGUGUAACCUAUAAGUGGGUGCAACACACAUGUCCACCGACCACCUUGUUUGAUGACAGUCUUCCUGCACCGGUGUGUAAUCACGCGAAAUAUGUGCAAUGCCAUGACGUUGAUGGUGAGGACUGCAGAAGUGAACAUGGUGCUUGCACCCGGUUCAUGUACGAGAACGUUCGCUUAUUUGCACUGACAAGCUCUGGCUGUAAGAAGUUUUGUCAGUGCGUGCAUGCGUCAACAGAGUUGGAUGGGUCUGUAACGUAUCAGUGGACUGAGCACACAUGUCCUGCUCAGACGCUGUUUGAUAGCAGCAUUCGAGUCUGUAACUUUGCUGAUCGUGUCCAAUGCGAUGGGAAUCCGGGGCAGAAUGCGUUAACUACUACAUCGUGGCCUUGGGUGCAGGAAGCAACCCCAAUUGUAACAGAUGAAACAAGCAACGAAUGUUUUGAACAAUAUGGUUAUUGUACUAGGGAUCAGUAUGAAAAUGUAAGACUCGUUGCGCUCAGAAGCUCCGGUUGUAAAAAUUAUUACCAGUGUGCGUAUGCGUCAACCAAACAUGACGGAUCUGUGACAUAUAAGUGGGUGAAAAAGACAUGCCCACCUACCACUCUGUUUGAUGAGAGCCUUCCAGCACCCGUUUGUAACUAUGAUUACAAGGUCCAAUGUCCUGAUUCAGACGAGGAAAGCGAAGACUGUACAACUGAAUAUGGUACGUGCACACAAUACAUGUACGAAACUAUCCGACUGGUACCAAAAAGGAGCUCGGGGUGCGAGAAGUUCUGCCAGUGUGCGCAUGCGUCUACUAAACUAGAUGGUUCCGUCACGUAUAAAUGGGUUGAACAUGAUUGUCCCGAAGGACUUUUGUUUGAUAAAAACAUCAGAGUCUGCAAUUACCCUGCCAAUGUUGAAUGCAGUGCAGGCAAUCAAGAACGGAAGAGAAUACUUGAGAUUUUUCGGCAGUUGGUCUCUCCACAAGAUGACGAUGAGGAUUGUUUCCAGGAAUAUGGUACGUGUACAAAGUCCCAGUAUGAAGACGUAAGACUUCUUGCGCUUAGGAGCUCUGGUUGUAAGAACUUCUGUCAGUGUGCGCAUGCGUCAACCAAGUUAGAUGGUUCCGUGACAUACAAAUGGGUUAAACAGACAUGCCCAGAGAAAACAUUAUUCGAUCAGGACCUUGACACGCCUGUCUGUAAUCAUGAAGGAGAGGUUCGGUGCCCGAGUGUCAUCGCCGUUGACGAUGGGUGCUCGAAGGAACACGGGAAUCCGGGGCAGAAUGCGUUAACUACUACAUCACGACCUUGGGUGCAUGAAACAACCCCAAUUGUCGCAGAUGAAGCAAGCAAAGAUUGUUUGGCGGAAUAUGGUUAUUGUACAAGGGAUCAGUAUGAAAAUGUAAGACUUGUUGCACUCAGAAGCUCUGGUUGUAAGAAUUUCUACCAAUGUGCACCUGCCUCAACCGAACUCGACGGAUCUGUGACAUAUAAGUGGGUGAAAAAGACAUGCCCAUCAAACACACUGUUUGAUGAGAGCCUUCCGACACCCGUCUGUAACCAUAAUUAUGAGGUCCAAUGUCCUGAUUUCGAUGAGGAAAACGAAGACUGUACAACUCAAUAUGGUACGUGCACACAAUACAUGUACGAAAAUGUCCGACUUGUGCCAAAACGAAGCUCGGGGUGCAAGAAGUUCUGUCAGUGUGCGCAUGCGUCUACUGAACAAGAUGGUUCCGUCACGUAUAAAUGGGUUGAACAUGAUUGUCCCGAAGGACUUUUGUUUGAUAAAAAUAUCAGAGUCUGCAAUUACGCUGCAAAUGUUGAAUGUAGUGGCUAUCAAGAAAGAAAACGAAUACUUGAGAUUUUACGGCAGUUGAUCUCUCCACAAGGUGACGAUGAGGAUUGUUUCCAGGAAUAUGGUACAUGUACACAGUCCCAGUAUGAAAACGUAAGACUUCUUGCGCUUAGGAGCUCUGGUUGUAAGAACUUCUGUCAGUGUGCGCAUGCGUCAACCCAGUUAGAUGGUUCCGUGACGUACAAAUGGGUAAAACAGACAUGUCCUGAGGAAACAUUAUUCGAUCAGGACCUUGAUACGCCUGUCUGUAAUCAUGAAGCAAAGGUUCGGUGCCCGAGUGUCAUCGCCGUUGAAGAUGGGUGCUCAAAGGAACACGGAAAUCCGGGGCAGAAUGCGGUAACUACUACAUUACGGCCUUGGGAGCAGGAAACAACCCCAGUUUCCACAGACGAAGCAAGCAACGAAUGUUUUGCGGAAUAUGGUUUUUGUACAAGGGAUCAGUAUGAAAAUGUAAGACUUGUUGCACUCAGAAGCUCUGGUUGUAAGAAUUUCUACCAGUGUGCACCUGCUUCAACCAAACUCGACGGAUCUGUGACAUAUAAGUGGGUGAAAAAGACAUGCCCACCUUCCACUUUGUUUGAUGAGAGCCUACCAACACCCGUCUGUAACCAUGAUUAUGAGGUCCAAUGUCCUGAUUCCGAUGAGGAAAACGAAGACUGUACAACUCAAUAUGGUACGUGCACACAAUACAUGUACGAAAAUGUCCGACUGGUGCCAAAACGAAGCUCGGGGUGCAAGAAGUUCUGUCAGUGUGCGCAUGCGUCUACUGAACAAGAUGGUUCCGUCACGUAUAAAUGGGUUGAGCAUGAUUGUCCCGAAGGACUUUUGUUUGAUAAAAAUAUCAGAGUCUGUAAUUACGCUGCAAAUGUGGAAUGCAAUGUCUAUCAAGAAAGGAAACGAAUACUUGAGAUUUUACGACAGUUGGUCUUUCCACAAGGUGACGAUGAGGAUUGUUUCCAGGAAUAUGGUACAUGUACACAGUCCCAGUAUGAAAACGUAAGACUUGUUGCGCUAAGGAGCUCUGGUUGUAAGAACUUCUGUCAGUGUGCGCAUGCGUCAACCCAGUUAGAUGGUUCCGUGACGUAUAAAUGGGUUAAACAGACAUGCCCUGAGAAAACAUUAUUCGAUCAGGACCUUGAUACGCCUGUCUGUAAUCACGAAGCUAAUGUUCAGUGCCCGAGUGUCAUCGCCGUUGAAGAUGGGUGCUCAAGGGAACACGGGAAUCCGGGGCAGAAUGCGCUAACUACUACAUCACGGCCUUCGGUGCAGGAAACAACCCUUAUUGCCACAGAUGAAGCAAGCAACGAAUGUUUUGCGGAAUAUGGUUAUUGUACAAGGGAUCAGUAUGAAAAUGUAAGACUUGUUGCACUCAGAAGCUCUGGUUGUAAGAAUUUCUACCAGUGUGCACCUGCUUCAACCAAACUCGACGGAUCUGUGACAUAUAAGUGGGUGAAAAAGACAUGCCCACCUUCCACUCUGUUUGAUGAGAGCCUUCCAACACCCGUCUGUAACCAUUAUUAUGAGGUCCAAUGUCCUGAUUCCGAUGAGGAAAACGAAGACUGUACAACUCAAUAUGGUACGUGCACACAAUACAUGUACGAAAAUGUCCGACUGGUGCCAAAACGAAGCUCAGGAUGCAAGAAGUUCUGUCAGUGUGCGCAUGCGUCUACUGAACUAGAUGGUUCCGUCACGUAUAAAUGGGUUGAGCAUGAUUGUCCCGAAGGACUUUUGUUUGAUAAAAAUAUCAAAGUGUGCAAUUACGCUGCAAAUGUGGAAUGCAGUGGCUAUCAAGAAAGGAAACGAAUACUUGAUAUUUUACGACAGUUGGUAUCUCUACAAGGUGACGAUGAGGAUUGUUUCCAGGAAUAUGGUACAUGUACACAGUCCCAGUAUGAAAACGUAAGACUUGUUGCGCUAAGGAGCUCUGGUUGUAAGAACUUCUGUCAGUGUGCGCAUGCGUCAACCCAGUUAAAUGGUUCCGUUACGUACAAAUGGGUUAAACAGACAUGCCCUGAGAAAACAUUAUUCGAUCAGGACCUUGAUACGCCUGUCUGUAAUCACGAAGCUAAGGUUCAGUGCCCGAGUGUCAUCGCCGUUGAAGAUGGGUGCUCAAGGGAACACGGGAAUCCAGGGCAGAAUGCGCUAACUACUACAUCACGGCCUUGGGUGCAGGAAGCAACCCCAAUUGCCACAGAUGAAGCAAGCAACGAAUGUUUUGCGGAAUAUGGUUAUUGUACAAGGGAUCAGUAUGAAAAUGUAAGACUUGUUGCACUCAGAAGCUCUGGUUGUAAGAAUUUCUACCAGUGUGCACCUGCUUCAACCGAACUCGACGGAUCUGUGACAUAUAAGUGGGUGAAAAAGACAUGCCCACCUUCCACUCUGUUUGAUGAGAGCCUUCCAACACCCGUCUGUAACCAUGAUUAUGAGGUCCAAUGUCCUGAUUCAGAUGAGGAAAGUGAAGACUGUACAACUCAAUAUGGUACCUGCACACAGUACAUGUAUGAAAAUGUCCGACUUGUGCCAAAAAGAAGUUCGGGGUGCAAGAAAUUCUGUCAGUGUGCGCAUGCGUCUACUGAGCUAGAUGGUUCCGUCACGUAUAAAUGGGUUGAACAUGAUUGUCCCGAAGGACUUUUGUUUGAUAAAAACAUCAAAGUCUGCAAUUACGCUGAUAAUGUUGAAUGCAGUACAGGCAAUCAAGAAUGGAAAAGAAUACUUGAGAUUUUACGGCAGUUGGUCUCUCCACAAGCCAUUGGUAACUGUUCAAAAGCCAAAGCCAGCAAAAAUGAAAAUACGAAGGAUGCAUUAUUUCUAAAACAGCUAAACGGAUGUCUCCCGUAAAAGGAUUAAAAGCACCUAAAUUUCUGAAAAUGAAAUCGUUAUUGCUGUCAAAAGCGAAAUUGACGAUACAGCUAAACACUGUGACGAUGAGGAUUGUUUCCAGGAAUAUGGUACAUGUACACAGUCCCAGUAUGAAAACGUAAGACUCGUUGCGCUUAGGAGCUCUGGUUGUAAGAACUUCUGUCACUGUGCGCAUGCGUCAACCCAGUUAAAUGGUUC
rnacentral:misc_RNA from 1 species